rnacentral:rRNA from 1 species
AGGGUUUGAUCAUGGCUCAGGAUGAACGCUAGCGGCAGGCUUAACACAUGCAAGUCGAGGGGUAACAGGGAUUGCUUGCAAUCCGCUGACGACCGGCGCACGGGUGCGUAACGCGUAUGCAACCUACCUUUUACUGGGGGAUAGUCAAAAGAAAUUUUGAAUAAUACCCCAUACGAUCUAUUUCACUCCUGUGAGACAGAAGAAAAUUCCGAUGGUAAAAGAUGGGCAUGCGUCCUAUUAGUUUGUUGGUGAGGUAAUGGCUCACCAAGACUACGAUAGGUAGGGGUCCUGAGAGGGAGAUCCCCCACACUGGUACUGAGACACGGACCAGACUCCUACGGGAGGCAGCAGUGAGGAAUAUUGGACAAUGGAGGCAACUCUGAUCCAGCCAUGCCGCGUGCAGGAAGACGGCCCUAUGGGUUGUAAACUGCUUUUGUACAGGAAGAAACGUUAGUACGUGUACUAGCCUGACGGUACUGUAAGAAUAAGGAUCGGCUAACUCCGUGCCAGCAGCCGCGGUAAUACGGAGGGUGCAAGCGUUAAUCGGAAUUACUGGGCGUAAAGCGCGCGUAGGUGGUUUGGUAAGCGAGAUGUGAAAGCCCCGGGCUUAACCUGGGAACGGCAUUUCGAACUGUCAGGCUAGAGUAUGGUAGAGGGUAGUGGAAUUUCCUGUGUAGCGGUGAAAUGCGUAGAUAUAGGAAGGAACACCAGUGGCGAAGGCGGCCUCCUGGAUCUGUACUGACACUAAGGUGCGAAAGCGUGGGUAGCGAACAGGAUUAGAUACCCUGGUAGUCCACGCCGUAAACGAUGACAACUAGCUGUUGGGAGACAAUGUCUUUCAGUGGCGCAGCUAACGUUUUAAGUUGUCCGCCUGGGGAGUACGGCCGCAAGGCUAAAACUCAAAUGAAUUGACGGGGACCCGCACAAGCGGUGGAGCAUGUGGUUUAAUUCGAUGCAACGCGAAAAACCUUACCUACUCUUGACAUACUUGGAAGCUCUUGUAAUGAGAGUGUGCCUUUUGGAGCCAAGAUACAGGUGCUGCAUGGCUGUCGUCAGCUCGUGUCGUGAGAUGUUCCGUUAAGUCGGAUAACGAGCGCAACCCUUACCCUUAUUUGCCAGCGAUUCGGUCGGGAACUAUAAGGGGACUGCCGGUGAUAAACCGGAGGAAGGUGAGGACGACGUCAAGUCAUCAUGGCCCUUACGAGUAGGGCUACACACGUGCUACAAUGGGGAAUACAGACGGACGCUAAGCCGCGAGGUGGUGCUAAUCCUAUAAAGUUCUUCGUAGUCCGGAUUGGAGUCUGCAACUCGACUCCAUGAAGUCGGAAUCGCUAGUAAUCGCGAAUCAGCAUGUCGCGGUGAAUACGUUCUCGGGUCUUGUACACACCGCCCGUCACACCAUGGAAGUGGAUUGCACCAGAAGUAGAUAGUCUAACCUUCGGGAGGGCGUUUACCACGGUGUGCUUCAUGACUGGGGUGAAGUCAUAACAAGGUAGCCGUA